rnacentral:rRNA from 1 species
UACGUAGGGGGCAAGCGUUGUCCGGAAUUAUUGGGCGUAAAGAGCGCGUAGGCGGUCCGGUAAGUCAGCUGUGAAAGUCAAGGGCUCAACCCUUGAAAGCCGGUUGAUACUGUCGGGCUAGAGUCCGGAAGAGGCGAGUGGAAUUCCCGGUGUAGCGGUGAAAUGCGCAGAUAUCGGGAGGAACACCAAUGGCGAAGGCAGCUCGCUGGGCCGUAUCUGACGCUAAGGCACGAAAGCGUGGGGAGCGAACAGG